AUACUUUAUUAUUUACCUUAACAUUUACCUUGGCAUGAACACACUCCUAUGAUGGGUAUUGUAUGCCAAGGCCUGGGUAAAACUGCAUUUGUAUAAAUAUAUAAUAUGUUUGUUGUAGGGUUUUUUUCACGCAGAGUUUUGACUGCGGUUUAAUCUUACUUCGACCUUUUAGUCAGAGGUACGUUGCAGACGCCAAGUUUUUCUUGAAACGCAGUUUGCAUUUAAUUUUAUUUGCAUGCCUUUGUAUAAAACGAAGAGUAUAUGGUAUUACUUUGUUUCUUUUUUUGGCAUUCCAGCUAGAAGCACAAUAUGAGCCGUAAAAUCGUCCCACACCCAGCAUAUUAGGUUAACUGUGGCGGUAAAAGGAGACCUGUUUUUGGAGAGAGAUUGUAACUGAUCAGUUCACUGUGCGUGUUUAAAGGCUGCCUUGUGUGCUUUGGGCACUACUGCACGCACACAGAUGAUGUUGUGAAGUUCCUCUUGGCUGCUUGUUUCAUGAAGUUUUGCCAUACACAGGUCAAGUCACCGGGCAUCCAUCUUUAACCCAUGCAAGAGCCCUCUUCUGGCUUCCACAGUACGGGUGUGAUGGUUACCUACGGGUUUAAACUGGGGGUUAUAUAGAAAUCCCGACAUCUUUGAAAGGUCUUUAAUCCAGGCGAGUU